CAGGCAGUGUUGGAGGUGAGCAGGGGGUAGAUGGGGCCGGGUCGGCGUGCCGUGGAGAGGAUAAGGACUGGCGGCGGGGGCAGUGAGGCAUGACAGGAGCUGGCCUGGGACCUGCUGCAAUCCCUGGAGAGCGCCUACCCAGUGCUGCUGACCCAUCGCCAGCUGCUUUUCUUUUUGUAAAGGGUGGGGAGAAUGGUUAAUAAAACAGCAGGAAAAAAUUG